AAGACACAAAUCCACAUUUUAUGUUGUUUUAGCUAUUCAUGCGUUCCAACACUAGAUGGCAGCAAUGACCUGAUAGAUAGGCAUAGUGUCAACAGACACAGUCAACACUUCUGAUGCAAGAAUCAUUGAAUAGUUUUCAUUUUAUUGAAUAAAAAGUCCCCUUGUAAACCAUAAAGAAUGAAGAAUGGAAUCCCAUCUAUCCUCAUCUGCUGAUUUUUUUAUUUAUUUAUUUAUUUUUUUUUACUGAACUGACUCUUUAUCUUGUUUCGCUUGUAUAGAAUCAUUAUUAAAUCUCAUCUGUGCUACAGUGAGGGUGUAUUAUUACUGCGAGCAAUAGACCUGUGUGUGAGAGAUCGGUAAAUAUGUGGGAAAGUACGUCCAAAGUACUGUCCACAUGCUUCCAGCCUGAUAUUGAACUCCCAAAUACUGGUGGCACUGAAAAGUACUCUUUAGCUUCAUUGUAAAUGUGACUUAAUUUAAAUUUGAUUUGGACAGAUUAACUUAUAUGGUGUUGGUUCUGAUAAAAUAAAGUUUUGAAUAUUGUUAACUUCUACCGGAUUGACUUUGUUUUUCUUACACGGAAACAGUGGAUUACGUAUUAAUCCCAGAACCGAUUAGAUAGAUUUUUGUUUUUACUAUGUCAAAUGAAAAUUCAAUAUAGUGGUAAUAUAUCCGGUGUGCUUCCAUAGCUGUGCGCUAGGACUGGUUGUCAUGACAAGCCUGUUCUUCGCAAUACCCAAGUUGUGAUGAACAUGACAUUCAGACAGUUAUAUGCUGAUGAGUCAUGUGCUCCUUUCUUCAGUUGGCAGUUGGCAGUUGACAGCAUCAUUUCACUUGUAUCAUAGAAAGUUGCUGUUAUAAAGAUCCACUGAUUUAAUGUCAUAUAGCGCAUAAUCAAUGCUAUGAAAAGCCAAACAGUCUAAUGUCCUCUGUUAACUUCCUAACAAUAUUGCUAUUAAUCUCCAAUGCAUUGGAUCGUAUUACAUUCCUUGCAAUGCAGGAGACACGUUCCUAGCACACGUUUUUCGAUUUACAUGCGUUUUGUAUAUUGACGAACCCGAAUUAGUGGAUUAGUUUGAUCUGCAAUCUUGGGGAUAGUUAAAGUUCAUACAUUUUGACUUUUAAAGAGAAUGUCUCACCCAGCAUGACGCUCUAACUGUGGCCUACUCAUACCAGAAUUAGUGUUGUCUGAGUCAUUUAUCAGGUCUUACGUAGCAUGCUCAUUGUAUUUGCUAAGACACUUGUAAGUGAUGAAUUGUCAAUGUCCAACUCAAAUUCAAAAGUAACUGCCUCAUUGAAUGUACAAUUUGUAAGGAGACUAUUAAUUCUUUCCCUAAGACGUUUUGGCCGACUGUAACUCUAUAUUGCUGUAUUUAGUGUAAAAUCAAGAGAAAAUUAGAAUGAAAUGGGAGAAGAGCUUCAUUUGCCUUGAUACAGGUUUUAAUAUGAGUUACGUUACAUUAACAGGAAGUUGAGUUUCUAAUUUUGUUGUAUGUUUCAAUUUUUUUUUUUUUUUUUGUCUCGCACGACAUACAGAUGUGUUGUUGUCAAUUAAUGUACAUUUUGUUUACUCCAGGUAGCUUGAGGUAAUCUACUACUGAUGCCAGUCAAUGUUUAUUUUUUUCAUUUGUUUCCAAUUUUGCAUUCGUGCAACAAAUACAAUAUGGCCGCCGUUUUUUAAAGCCUCUCAGACUGAUGAAAACACAACCACCCUCCUGCCUUCUUUCUCAGACGGGCCUCCGUUGUCAUGGCAACAUGCUAUGGCGCAGCACUUAUUGGGAUUCAGCUGGAUGGCAAUUGACUGUAUUAGCUGUCCGGGUUUACCGUCCCCUCUCUCUUCCUCGCAAACAUCCUGCCUUCUCUGAGAACCUGCAACACGCAGCAAUCUGCUCUGCCAUUGAGAUGACUCCAGCGCCAACGUCCUUCGACUCUAUCCAUGCAGCCCUGGUCCUGGGCUAGAUCUGCCCUGCCCUCAUCUGCAUGUCCCUCUUCCGUCCUACUACAGCUAUAGGAAUAACUCAGCCUUUAUACAGUAUGUGGCUAAAUCCGAAUAUAGGUUUGCCUUUGUGCUAGCUGGGCGGCUGAGGCUUUCGUUCUGGUGCCACCGAGCAGGAAACAGCAACUUUUAUUAAGCAUGGCAGAGGGCUGUAGGGAGAACGGAGAAAUGCAGGGUGCUACAUCACACAUCAGCUCUGUACUCGCUUCAACAGCCAGAUAAAACGCUCAGCUGCAUUGCUAUAGCAGCAUAGAGCGAGGGGCUCUCUGCUGUACAACAAAUGCCGUAUUAAACCUCUCCGAUGCUGCACCAAAUACAUCCUGAUGCAGCUCAAUUGUGAGCAAAAAGGAAGAUGCCUUUUGCGUGAAAGGAAAUUAUCUCUAGAAAUAACGUGUACCUUGAAUGCAUAACGCUACACCAUCUGUUUGAAGCUGGUGCACGCAGUCCCUGCCUGUGCAGCAGUACAUUACAGCAAAGCCCUCGUCCGUGCUUACGCAUUCACUGUGGUUAGGUAAUGCAGAACGCAAGGGAAGAUGGCACUGACUGGUGCGCCGUUGUGCAGCCCAGCACAGAUGUUCAUCAGUGCUUUUUGUCACAGCUGCAGUGAGCAUGCAAACUGAAUGCAGGGCUGAGACACAGACACGUCUGCUAUUAGCGGGAACUCAGGGUAUACCUAUAUAGAGGCUGCUGAUUGAUGCAAAAGCAGCAGAUGCGUCAGCACUGCAGACGAGGGGGAGGGGAGCAAGCUAAACAACAUGACUGAGAGCGUCUCACCAGCCUCUGAGAACGGAAGCCACUGUUUUAUUUACACUGAGCGUAGAGUCAUAUGACCAUGAAGAUCUUCUCAUUCUGACUAUGACCUCCGUUUUAUUUCUUUGCACGGCUGGCUUCAAAAAAUAGCAGGUGCUAUAUCAGUAUGCCUGCUGUUCAUUGCACUUAAAGAAGGAAGUGCACUCGUUAUGAUCUGUUUGUGAUCCUUUCUAAAAAUAUGCACAAUGAUCACUGUAACCUCCAAAAUCUUAGCUGCUGUAUUGUCUUGUUUCCAUUUCUGCAAUCAGCACAUGAGAUAAAAAUAUGAGAUCAGCAUAAAGUAAAGAUUUCUGGUCUUGGACAAAGCCUCUGAAUUGUAUGACAUACAGCCACUAUGAGAUUCUUUUAAUAGGACUGUUAAUGCCUUAAAAUGAUUUAUUAAAUAAACGUGACUGUGUCA